rnacentral:lncRNA from 1 species
CUGUUCUAAUGGGGAAGCUAACGGAAUCUAGACACCACAAAGGAUGUUCGACCCGCACCUAUAAACCCUAUCCUUCCUGCUAACAAGAUGUGAUCUACAAAGGUAACUCGGAAUUGUCACGUUCCUCGCUACUGCCACGGUCCAGCUAGUCAGGGAAUAUCUAUGAGUACCCCAGCCUAAACACCACGUUUACGCCAGCAAUGAUUACUCUAAACUCUACGCGAAGAGAUUAAAGUAAACUCAUAAACCAUAAGAACAAUAAAACAAGAACUUACUAGAAUUUAGAAGUCGAAUUACUGAAGAAUCCUAGGAGCAAGCUUCGGGUUAGGAGAACUUGAUCCCGCAGGUACAAGCUUGG